rnacentral:rRNA from 1 species
AGUGAACGCUGGCGGCGUGCUUAACACAUGCAAGUCGAACGAGAACGGAAUAUAGCUUGCUAUAUUUGUCAGCUAAGUGGCGCACGGGUGAGUAAUGUAUAGAUAACCUGCCCUUAAGAAAGGAAUAACAGUUGGAAACGACUGCUAAUGCCCUAUAUGCCUUUAAUACAUAAGUAUGCAAGGGAAACGCUUUAGUGCUUAAGGAUGGGUCUGUAUGGUAUCAGCUUGUUGGUGAGGUAAUGGCUCACCAAGGCUAUGACGCCUAACUGGUUUGAGAGGAUGAGCAGUCACACUGGAACUGAGACGCAGUCCAGACUCCUACGGGAGGCAGCAGUGGGGAAUAUUGCACAAUGGACGAAAGUCUGAUGCAGCAACGCCGCGUGGAGGAUGACACAUUUCGGUGCGUAAACUCCUUUUAUAUAGGAAGAUAAUGACGGUACUAUAUGAAUAAGCACCGGCUAACUCCGUGCCAGCCGCCGCAGUAA